rnacentral:tRNA from 1 species
GGGGAUAUGGUUCAGUGGUUAAGAGCACUGGCUGCUCUUCCAGAGGACCUGGGUUCAAAUUCCAGCAUCCACA